ACUCAAAUGAAUAGACGGGGACCCGCACAACCUGUGGAGCGUGUGGUUCAAUUCGAGACGAAACGAAGGACCUCACCAGGGCUUGACAUGCUACCGUUUAUUUUUCCAGAGAUGGAGAGAAAUCCGCAAGGAUGGUAGCACAGGUGCUGCAUGGCUGUCGUCAGCUCGUGCCGUGAGGUGUUCCCUUAAGUGGGGAAACGAGCGCAACCCCCAUCCAAUGUUACAUUAUUCAUUGGAAACUGCUCCAGAUUUUCUGGGGAGGAAGGAGGGGUAGACGUCAAGUCAGCACGGCCCUUAUGCCCUGGGCCACACACACACUACAAUGGCGAAAAACAACGAGCCGCAAGCACGCGAGUGCAAGCAAAUCUCUCAAAUUUCGCCUCAGUUCAGAUUGGAGUCUGCAACUCGACUCCAUGAAGCCGGAAUAGGUAGUAAUCGCGGAUCAGCAAGCCGCGGUGAAUACGUUCUCGGGUCUUGUACACACCGCCCGU
rnacentral:rRNA from 1 species